rnacentral:rRNA from 1 species
UGCCAGCCGCCGCGGUAAUACAGAGGGUGCAAGCGUUAAUCGGAAUUAUUGGGCGUAAAGCGCGCGUAGGUGGUUUGUUAAGUCGGAUGUGAAAGCCCUGGGCUCAACCUGGGAACUGCAUUCGAUACUGGCGAACUAGAGUAUGGUAGAGGGAAGUGGAAUUUCCGGUGUAGCGGUGAAAUGCGUAGAUAUCGGAAGGAACACCAGUGGCGAAGGCGACUUCCUGGCCCAAUACUGACACUGAGGCGCGAAAGCUAGGGUAGCAAACGGGAUUAGAUA